GACGAACGCUGGCGGCGUGCUUAACACAUGCAAGUCGAGCGGUAAGGCCCUUUCGGGGGUACACGAGCGGCGAACGGGUGAGUAACACGUGGGUGACCUGCCCUCAGCUCUGGGAUAAGCCUGGGAAACCGGGUCUAAUACCGGAUAUGACUCCAUGACGCAUGUUGUGGGGUGGAAAGCCUUGUGCGGCUGAGGAUGGGCCCGCGGCCUAUCAGCUUGUUGGUGGGGUGANGGCCUACCAAGGCGACGACGGGUAGCCGGCCUGAGAGGGCGACUGGCCACACUGGGACUGAGACACGGCCCAGACUCCUACGGGAGGCAGCAGUGGGGAAUCUUGCGCAAUGGGCGAAGACCUGACGCAGCGACGCCGCGUGAGGGAU
rnacentral:rRNA from 1 species